CUAGUGUCUAAUGAAUAAGUACUAGUAACUUUACAAAAGACACUAGUAACUAAAUAAUAAGCACUAGUACCUAAAAAAUAAGCACUAGUAGUUAAUGGAAAAUAUACUAGUAUCUAAAAAAUAAGUACUAGUAAAAUUACGUUAAAUUAAAUACUAGUGCAGUUUAUAGAUUGAAUGUUACAACGGCUUGCCAUACGCUGCCUGGGGAAGGGUGCUCACACAACUAGCAAAAAAUGACUCGGGCAUUUUUGUGUUGUUGAUGUUUCUUUUACACGGCUUCUUCUUUACAUCGCCUUUCGCUUUCACUUGGUUUCCAAAUAAUGUGUUUCCACACUGUACUUAUUUUCGAAAACGUGCUGUAAAAUUAUGCCAGGUGUUUUUCUCACACUGUGUGUUUUGCUUUUGCAUGGUUCAUCUGGUGUUGAUUUAGACAAAGUGACAGUGAUGGAGGGAGAUUCAGUCACGCUAAACACUGACGUUGAAACAAUGU
rnacentral:lncRNA from 1 species